AGAGUUUGAUCCUGGCUCAGAGUGAACGCUGGCGGCGUGCCUAACACAUGCAAGUCGAACGAGAACGGAUUACAGCUUGCUGUAAUUGUCAGCUAAGUGGCGCACGGGUGAGUAAUAUAUAGUUAAUCUGCCCCAAAGAAGAGAAUAAUUGUUGGAAACGACUUGUAAUGCUCUAUAUGCCUUUAUCACAUAAGUGAGCAAGGGAAAUAUUUAUAGCUUUGGGAUGAGACUGUACGGUAUCAGCUAGUUGGUGAGGUAAUGGCUCACCAAGGCUAUGACAUCUAACUGGUUUGAGAGGAUGAUCAGUCACACUGGAACUGAGACACGGUCCAGACUCCUACGGGAGGCAGCAGUGGGGAAUAUUGCACAAUGGAGGGAACUCUGAUGCAGCAACGCCGCGUGGAGGAUGACACAUUUCGGUGCGUAAACUCCUUUUAUAUGAGAAGAUAAUGACG
rnacentral:rRNA from 1 species